GAAGUCUCCGCUCUAUCGUCAGAGACCGCGCCCAGGAGGCCGGAAGCGGAAGUAGAGAAAUCGCGAGCUAGUCUGCGGGUAAAAUUGAGGCGGGCUAAUGUAUUUUGAGAGCAAGCUUAGAUCCCCAAGUCUCUCCAGAAUUGUACUCCUGAACCUGUGCGCGCGCUCGGGCGCCUCAGAAAUUUAAUCUGAUAGUCGGACGUGACGGCCUACGCCUUUAACCCUUGCCUAGCCCGGUGUACAGCACAAGUUCCAGGACAGCGAGGGCUAUACAGAGAAGCUCUAUUUGGAAACAUCAAAGGAGAAAAGAAAAAAAAAGUUAAUCUGCGGUUCAGGCGUGGAGGUACGAGCCUGUGAUCCUAGCACGCAAGUGGCAGAGGCAGAAGCUUGAGUUCUAGACCGGCCUGGGCAUUAUUAGACCAUCUAAAUAAAGUAAAAUAAAAUACUUGAUG